GAGAUUUACCAUGUAGUUCUGUGAUCUAAUUGGAAUGAGAAGGUCACACUGUACCUAUUCUUAAAUUGCAUCGUUUGCUUCUCCCAUUGUUACUUGCAUUUUAUGCAGACUCUUACUUGUGCCAGUUAGCUACAAAUUUGGGAUUAUAGUCAGUCCACUGCUCCUCCAGAUAAAUCUGAGGCAAAAUCUACUGCAUUAGCUCUAAUAGAGUCCUUUGCAAGCUUGACCUAACCUGGUCAGGAUCUGUUCUGAUUGAAUUGUAAAGCCUGUUAUGUCUCUUGCUGUACAUUUCUCUUGCUGCUAAAGUCUUCAUGUUUAGUCGGAUAUACUAAUUCUUCCAAGAUCCUGGCCAUCUCAGCCCUACCAUCGGUCUACCCUUUGAGGUGUUUGGGAUUUAACAAAAAUGAACUACUUCUCUUGCCCAUGGAUUACCGGCAUGACAAUAAGGCUCAUUAUUUUCAGAAGCUUGUAACUAUGCAGGAGAAUUUAUAUGUACUUCUGUGUGAUGAAGAAUUGGAUGCAGUCUCUUUGGAAGCUGUGCACCAACAAAAGAUGAAGAAUAGACAAGCCCACUCUUCAUCAGGAACUUUGAAGAUUUGAUCAAGGAUCUUAAGGUGUAAUGAUUAUCCUGGAUCAUGCAAGUGAAUCUAAUGUAAUCACAAGGGUCCCAAUAAAUGAAACAAGAAGGCAAGAAAGUCGGGAAUGAAGAUGUCAAGACUGAAGCAGAGUUCAGAGUAAUUUGGUGUAAGAAAGAGUCACCUGGCUGUUGCUGUCUUUGAAGAUGGAAGAGGAUCACAAGCUAAGAAAUGUAGACAGCCUCUGAAAGGUAGAGAAGGCGAGGAGGCAGAUUCUUCUCUACAGUCUCCAAGGAAGUACAAUCGUUCUGAUGCCUUGAUUUUAGCCCAGUGAUAUCCAUUUUAGAAUUCUGAUUUCCACAAUUUUAAG
rnacentral:lncRNA from 10 species